rnacentral:rRNA from 1 species
AACUUAAAUGAAUUGACGGGGCCCGCACAAGCGGUGGAGCACGUGGUUUAAUUCGAUGAUACGCGAGGAACCUUACCUGGGCUCGAACGUAAGAUGACUGUAGGUGAAAGCUUACAUCUCUUCGGAGCAUUUUACGAGGUGCUGCAUGGUUGUCGUCAGCUCGUGCCGUGAGGUGUCGGGUUAAGUCCCGUAACGAGCGCAACCCUUGUCCUUAGUUACCAGCACGUUAUGGUGGGCACUCUAAGGAGACUGCCGGUGACAAACCGGAGGAAGGUGGGGAUGACGUCAAGUCAUCAUGGCCCUUACGGCCUGGGCUACACACGUGCUACAAUGGUCGGUACAAAGGGUUGCCAAGCCGCGAGGUGGAGCUAAUCCCAUAAAACCGAUCGUAGUCCGGAUCGCAGUCUGCAACUCGACUGCGUGAAGUCGGAAUCGCUAGUAAUCGUGAAUCAGAAUGUCACGGUGAAUACGUUCCCGGGCCUU